rnacentral:rRNA from 1 species
UACGGAGGGUGCAAGCGUUAAUCGGAAUGACUGGGCGUAAAGGGUGCGUAGGUUGUUUUAUAAGUUAUCUGUGAAAGAACUGGGCUCAACCUGGUGGUGUCAGAUAAUACUGUAAGACUAGAGUAUGGGAGAGGGUAGUGGAAUUUCCGGUGUAGCGGUGAAAUGCGUAGAGAUCGGAAGGAACACCGGUGGCGAAGGCGGCUACCUGGCCUUUUACUGACACUGAGGCACGAAAGCGUGGGGAGCAAACAGG